AGAUACAACAACAACAACAAGAACUACAACCACAACUGCUGAGUCUACUGGAAGUACAAAUGAAGUCUCAGCCUCAGAUACCACACCUGCCGGAGAUACAACAACAACAACAAGAACUACAACCACAACUUCUGAGUCUACUGGAAGU